rnacentral:tRNA from 1 species
AAUUAGCUCAGUUGGUAGAGCACUCGGCUGUUAACCGAUAGGUCGUAGGUUCGAGUCCUACAUUGG